UUUGGGAAGUGAUGAGAAGAUAAAAACUGAUUGGAAAAGUCACCAGCAAUGCUGAAAUUAUUCAUUUGCACGUCAGUCUGAACCCAGG